GACUUUCCCAACGGCCUAGAAGAAGUGCAUGGCAGAACUAUGGGAACUAAACCCAUGUUUCUUGAGACCCCGUCCAAUACCUUAAACACAAGACCACUCUGAGGACAUUGAUCCAUAAACAUUCAAGAUCAUUUUCUUCUCAGUUGUCAGUGACUUGGAAGCAGCUACUGAAGUGAAAUCAAUUAUUUGUGCAGCUCUGUUCUAAAGGUAUGGAGGAGAUUGAAAAUACAUGUGCAAAAUACACACACGCUACUGGAUAACAUUAGAAAAGUAAAGUCUUAAGUAUUAAAAAUACAUCCAUCCCCAAAGUAUACACACUCUUGUCAGCUAGAUUGUGAAACACUGU